rnacentral:rRNA from 1 species
CAAUAGCGUAUAUUAAAGUUGUUGCGGUUAGAAAGCUCGUAGUUGGAUUUCUGCUGAGAACGACCGGUCCGCCCUCUGGGUGUGUAUCUGGCUCUUUCUUGGCAUCUUCUUGGUGAACGUUGCUGCACUUGACUGUGUGGAGCGCUACCCAGGACUUUUACUUUGAGGAAAUUAGAGUGUUUCAAGCAGGCAUACGCCUUGAAUACAUUAGCAUGGAAUAAUACCAUAGGACUCCGGUUCUAUUGUUGGUUUCUAGUGCCGAAGUAAUGAUUAAUAGGGACAGUUGGGGGCACUCGUAUUUAACUGUCAGAGGUGAAAUUCUUGGAUUUGUUAAAGACGAACUACUGCGAAAGCAUUUGCCAAGGAUGUUUUCAUUAA